rnacentral:sRNA from 1 species
GAAAACAGUGACCAGAGGGAUGACAUGGAGCAUGGAUGGGAAGUUGUUGACUCAAAUGACUCGGCUUCUCAGCACCAAGAGGAACUUCCUCCUCCUCCUCUGCCUCCCGGGUGGGAAGAAAAAGUGGACAAUUUAGGCCGAACUUACUAUGUCAACCACAACAACCGGACCACUCAGUGGCACCGACCAAGCCUGAUGGACGUGUCCUCGGAGUCGGACAAUAACAUCAGACAGAUCAACCAGGAGGCAGCACACCGGCGCUUCCGCUCCCGCAGGCACAUCAGCGAAGACUUGGAGCCCGAGCCCUCGGAGGGCGGAGAUGUCCCUGAGCCUUGGGAGACCAUUUCAGAGGAAGUGAAUAUCGCUGGAGACUCUCUCGGUCUGGCUCUGCCCCCACCACCGGCCUCCCCAGGAUCUCGGACCAGCCCUCAGGAGCUCUCAGAGGAACUAAGCAGAAGGCUUCAGAUCACUCCAGACUCCAAUGGGGAACAGUUCAGCUCUUUGAUUCAAAGAGAACCCUCCUCAAGGUUGAGGUCAUGCAGUGUCACCGACGCAGUUGCAGAACAGGGCCAUCUACCACCGGUAACCCAUGCUAAUUUCCAGUCAUCAAUUGACUUUUUGGGCUUUCAUUUACAAUCAUCUGGGCUGCUGCACAAAGAGUUUUUCCUGUGUAAAUUUAUUUACCAUAUAAAUGAGAUGUUUUUAAAUUU